CCGGAGUUUCCCCGACAGCUGGAGGUUGCGGCGGCGGCUCCUCCUCCCCGCUCGAGCCAGGGCCCCCCGCGCUCCUCCUUAUUUACAAACACACAAAGGGCCGGGCCGGGGUCGCGUCUGCAGCCGGCAUGGGAGACAAGAAGAGCCCGACCAGGCCGAAGCGGCAGCCGAAACCCUCCUCGGACGAGGGCUACUGGGACUGCAGCGUGUGCACCUUCCGGAACAGCGCCGAGGCCUUCAAGUGCAUGAUGUGCGAUGUGAGGAAGGGCACCUCCACCCGGAAACCUCGACCUGUCUCUCAGCUGGUUGCACAACAGGUUACUCAGCAAUUUGUGCCCCCUACACAAUCAAAGAAAGAGAAAAAAGACAAAGUAGAAAAGGAAAAAAGUGAAAAGGAAACAACUAGCAAAAAGAACAGUCAUAAGAAAACCAGGCCAAGAUUGAAAAAUGUGGAUCGGAGUAGUGCCCAGCAUUUGGAAGUUACCGUUGGAGAUCUGACAGUCAUUAUUACAGACUUUAAGGAGAAAACUAAGUCACCACCUGCUUCCAGUACCGCAUCUGCAGAUCAACACAGUCAGAGUGGUUCUAGCUCUGACAAUACAGAGAGGGGAAUGUCCAGGUCAUCUUCGCCCAGAGGAGAAGCCUCAUCGUUGAAUGGAGAAUCUCAUUAAAGUUUUUUUUCUCCAGUUUCUUUAGUCUCUUCUCUUCAAAACAUGCAAAUACACAACUUCUGCCAACAGCUACCACAUUUUCAUGACAGAUUAUCCAUGCACAAUUGAUAUGUUUACUGGAACAUAAUUUAUGCAGUUUUACAAAAGUGAAGUGAAGCAGUAGAAAUAAUAAUUUAAAUGCAAUCAACAAAUGCCUACAAAGCAUUUUCAGACUAACUUUUUAAUCUUCACAUUUAAAGGUGCCAUGAAAAUGUGGUUUGAAUGUUCAUUAUGCAGUGUUAUUGGUGGAACUAUAUGGAAAAGAGUAUACUGAGUUAAUGGAUUACAAGAGAGCUGAAUCUGUUUAAAAGAGAAGGGCUGAAACCAAUUUCCUUUGGAGUAGCAGAAGUCAUAGCAGAGGUAGAUGAAAUCAAUUUUUCCCCUGGCAAUUGCAUGUUACCACAUUUGUAGUGGGUUUGAUCACUAGGAAAAGCUAGCUCUGGAGAUAAGUUCAAAAUGUUAAUGCAGUUCUUGGAUAGUGGACUAGUCCAUUGCUAGGCAUGUUUAGCUAGCAACACAUUCUCUUAGCAAAUUGGUAAGAUUUGAGGUUGUUGGAAAUGUCACUGGAAGAGAAGAGCUAUAAAAGGUUGGAUAUCAUUUCUUACCUGACUUCAGAAGCAUGAGUCUCGUUUGAAGGUAUAUAUUGCACCUACUAGUAAGUAGGACAGCUUGACUCUUAUUUUUAAUUUUUUUUCCUCCUGCUUCACAAGUAUUUCAAGGCAAUAUUUCUGUAGCAGGAGAAGGAAAAAGAAAACUGUAGUGUAAACAAAAGCCACAAAUUUGAGCCUAAUUGAACACUAAAACAAACAAAACCAACAACCCUCUCCUAACACCAUUUUAAUGAAAAGCAAUACAAUCAAUCUAGGAUUUAGUUAAAAUAAGAAAUAAUACUUUGCAAGUCUGUUACAAACAAGUACUUUACAAACAUUUUAACCUCCCAUAUCCAUCUGUAUGCAUUAGGUAAAUAGUAUUAUUCCCAUUUUGUAGGUAAGAAAACAAGAUUUACAACUUAAAUGACUUGCCCAACAUGUCACACAGGGAAAAUUGGGGUAGAGUUAACAAAUAAUAAUUUAUGAAUAUGCUACUUCAUUAAACUAAUCAACCUGGUCCUGUGGCUCUAGAGGUAGAGGCUUCUGCUUUUAAAUUCAGAGAUUCUGUGUUCAAACCUGGCAGACAACUCACCCAGAGAUAUAAAUUACCAAUUCCAUUAGUUCAAGGUACUAGCAAAGAAAGUGGCUAGUCUAGCCACUAAAGAAAGACAAAGAGCCACUUGGUGUUAGCCUGGGCUACAUAAGCAGAGAAGAUAGUGUUAGAAUAAAUGGGCCAAAGGUGUUAAUGUAACCCAGUCACCGUCAAACAUUAAACAAUUUGAACAAGGGAUUUGGUGUGCAGAGAUGUCAGCCUGCUUAGUACCAUGGCACAAACAUCAUUAAAAAGCCCUUUAACCUUAUAUUAAAGAUAGAGAAGAGAAGGCAAAACAGUUAAAGCAUUUACAAUGUGAAGUAUUAAAUAAGACUUUCAUUUUAAAAUAUCUUGUUCCCUUUCCCUUCAGGAUGGAGAGAGUUUUAGAAGGAAAAAACCCUUGUUUGACAGUCUAUUUGAUGGUAUUAAUGAUGGCAGUAACUAUCCAUCUGAGAAAAGAAGUUAGUUGAGAUGAGCAAGAGCUGGAGCUGUUGCUGCUGUUAAAAUCCUUUCAUCCCAGCUAAUAGGCUGGUGAUGUCCUUUGGGUCCCUCUCUCUGGCCUGGUGUGGUCAUUUUUCCCGAUGAGGAUGAAGAAGUCCCAGGAGAUGGUAGUGGCAGCCACGAUGAUGAAGUUUGGUUCAGUAGUCUCCAUCUGUUAUUUUAAGUAUGUGUUAUGUAUUUUUGUUCUUUCACAUUUUCCCCACAAAAUCUUUCUUUUAAGGACCCAGAAAGGGAUUGAUGAGUAGAAUAGCCCCUCCUCUUAUUAUUUUGUCCACCAAUUAGGCCUACUAUCCAAUGUACCAAUUUUGGCUCAUUAACUUCUGGCUCCACAUCUGUUUUUUAUGCAUAAUUUCAAUACAGUCCUUGAAUCAUCUCAAUUUUACCUUCUUUAGCCUAAUUUAGUUAUUCUGUCUCCCUUUUGUACCUUUUCCCAUCAACAUUUGUUAUAGUUUAUUUUAACACCUUAUGAACUUUUACAUACUUUUUAGUUGCGCUCACAAUUCUUGAAAAUUUGUUGGCCACAGCCACUGUUGUGACAAUUGGGCCUAAGUUCUGACUACUGAGGACCUUUUUUAGAAGAUAUAUUACUGGUUUCCCUGAAAAAGAGAAUAUCUAUCUCAGACUGAUCCUUCUUUGCAGAGAAUAAAUCAAAACCAAGAUCUACUGAGUGUACAGUUCUCUAGGCAAGAGAAUCUACCAUCAGGUUGGUCUUCUGUAACACAACAGCCAACAACUAUGAGAGAUUCUCUUUGACACUUUUUAACUAAGUUUAGUAUUGGUUAAGUAUCAUAGCUCCACUUGUAAAGGAAAUAGACUCUGCUCUAACAUCUCUUUGAACUCCAGGGCCAAUUUCAGUGCUAGCGUAAGUGGGUGCGAUUUGUUUGAAAUAAAUUAUACUUGAUUUAUGCUAGUGGUCAAUUUGACACCCCCCCCUCCCCCGGUGUUCCUGAUCCAUUGAAUAGUAUUUAGGUAUCUCUACAAACUAAAACUUGUGUGUGACGGAUGAUCUCCCAACCCUGCUCUAGUUUUUACAUAACUCUUCCUUUCUAGAUAAGUGAUAUAUAGGGAGAAUUUUUGCUAAAUAGUUUCCCUUUGUACACUCAUGGGAGCUCUCUAGUUGAUGAGAUUGGCAUUCACAAUGCCAGUUACCACUUUGGUUCUCAGAUUCAUGUCCCUGAAAAGGACUGCUUCUAUCACUUGAAGGAGGCUUUCCACUCAUAGGAAAGUAGGUGGGAUAUGUUCUAGAUCUUGAUGAAGAAGUGUCCCCCAAGUGACACAUAGUACCUGAAGGCUUUUGCAAGGUGCAGGAAAGAAGCUUUGGAGAGGCAGCCAAGGGUGGAUGGAGAGGGAGAUCUUCUGCCAAAAAGAACACAGAGUUUUCACCAUCUCCUUAUGGAGAUCCUGGGGAGAUGGCCUCUUAUCUCCAAGAUGUGUCUCAAUACUUUUUGUUGGAUUGAAGAACAGAGAGGAUUAUAGCAAGAGAAAAAUUAUUUUGUAAAUCUCUGAGUGAUGACUAGAAAGUCUUCCUACU